rnacentral:ncRNA from 15 species
GGUUAGCUCAGUUGGUUAGAGCGUUCGCCUAAUAAGCGAAAGGUCGUGGGUUCGAUCCCCAU